UAAAAAAUGGCCAACGUCGUCACGACAAUGCUGAACUCGUAAAGGAGCGAUCCGAAUGGGCGCGCUGCGGUUGCUCCCAUUCCCGCCAUUCAGGUAGGGCGCGAAAGUCAUGCAGCAACAUGUGCUCCACUUCCAUAACCUCCGGUUACUGGCUUCAAAUCCAUGGCGGAACCGUGGACGGAAAAUGUGAACCGGCGGGCGAGCGCUGUAUUCUCGGGGUCACGUAGAUUUGAGUCAAAGUGGUAUAUUCCCCCGAGCCCGGCCGGUGCACACCUUGGAGCGUAGCUUGGUUUAGCUGCGCCGUAAAGGAAGUAAUCUGCUGCUGCAUUUGGAGGGGCGUCGUCGGAUCCGGGGCUGUGGGUGGGUGUUGUAGAGUCGGGCCGGCGUUGAUAUAUGCCGGAACCUGAGGGCCGGAAGGAAGCCCAGGCUGCGACAUAUCCGUCAACUGCCUGGUGUAAAUUGUUGUCGGAUCUGUUGUCGGCAUUAUUCCUAGUGUAACGGACAACAAUGCCGCCAAAGCAUGAACGAGAUCCGCUUCAAUGAAUCAAGAUCCUUCAUGGUGCUAGUAUUCUUCUUGUUUUUGUUGCUCAGUGCGUGCUGAUCAACAAAACGGGUCUCGCGCCUCUGGCGCGCUUUCUCUAACUACACCGCUGUGCCUUCGGUUCGCCAGCUAGACCCAUCAGGUAGAGUGCAGUGGAGAAUGUGAAACACUAGCACCAUAGAUUUAGCCCACCUAUAUGAAGCAUAUUGCAUAGUGCUAGUGGCGCCGAAUGUUCCGGUAUCGCUAGGCCUGACUCCGCUGGUGGAGGCAACUCACAGCUAUACUGCAUAGAUAACUGGAAUGUCACAGACUGGCAAUUCCUACAGGGCUUCUGCGACGUAGUUUAUGCCCCAUGCUUUCUCUGGAGCGGGUCAACAACCGCGGGUUACAGCAGGUGGCCGAAGUUGGCUGGUUAGAGCCGGGGGAGGGGGGAUCGCCCGUAUGCAUCAGCUCAUAGCAGGCGCAUCGUGCGACACCAGCCAUGGCACAGUGUGCCGCGUCAGCCUAUACCGAACAAGCAAGAACUGUGCAUGGAAGAGCCGAUGCACUCCCCUCCUCCACAUCCAUCAGAAUGCUGUCGGCCUGGGCUUGCACGGUGGCCUUAUCUGCAGCCCCCAUCAUCUGACGCAUGUGUGCCUGUUGGUUCAGGCAGGCAGCGGAUUGGGCUAGCACCCAUUUGAAGCCUGGCCACCAAUUGAGGGGUCCUCUGGGUCCAUGUGUGCUGUACUAUGUACCCAAUGAUUGAGGGUAUUGCUGAGAUCCCCGUGGUCCAGGAAUGGGUUUGGGGCAGUCCCGGCCCUGGCAUUGUUGCGCCAUAGCAUGGAAGGUGGUAUGGGUGAUGUGGUGGUCCACCGGGGUCGCAGAUGCUGUAUUGCUGCCAUAGUUCGCCACCGGCUCCAUGGUGUUGGACACUGGAAUAUGAUUAAUACAGGAGACGCCCGCUGGAUGGACGGCUGCCAUCCCUGCACUUGCCGCAGCCCACAGCCCGAUCUGGCACUCCUUGUUGGUGGAGUUACAAGUUCAGCUCGUAUGGGUAGUUUUACAGGUAUGGGGUCACGCACCCCCAACCAUGUAACACACACACACACACACGUUACAAGUUCCGCACAAGUUCGGGGCUGUCCAUAAAAGCCGGGGGGCCCAUGGACGGUAAAUCGUUUUUAGUGCGGUUACAUAGUGGACCAUCAUUGUCCCUCGUUCACUUGCGCACAUAGCGCCUUAGAGCAACGUGCCGGGUCUCCCAGACCUCUGAGAGGAACUUGGUGAUUGCCAGGGGUGGGGCCUCGGUCAUAAUCGUGCACAUGUCGCGCCCUGUGCACAUGUCACGCCCUGGUGGAGCUGUCAAACCCAGAUUCCCGAGAAUGUAGGCAGCAACACCGCUGCCACUUCACCCUGUUCACAGCAAUGGACUGUGGUUUAUGUUUGGACCCUCACGAUUAUCUAUUCAG
rnacentral:lncRNA from 1 species